CGCAAACGUCAUCGUCAGGGAGUCGACGUUCAAACAUGGCCGUUCUGGAGAUUCUCGCGAAGUAAACACACACCAAAUUCCUCGCAAUUAGGGAAGUAUUCCUUAUCUUUUUGAAAAUUAGGUGUGCUUUUUGGUAUGCUGAAUGUGUUGUGCGAACGUGUAGCCGAGUGUCACAAGUGUCAACGAGCUGUAUUUCGUGUUCAGUAAAAGUUUGUUCUGAACGACAAGCGAGUUAAAUCCACCGCCUCUUGCACGGCAGCUUAUGUGUACACACACGUACUGUAUACAGCACGCAGGAUUGACCGUGUACAGCUAUGUAGAAAGAGAAUGCCGCCUGCAGAUUCUGCCCAUCUUGUCAGCGGCUCGUGACCACAUAAACUCAUUAGAAACCGCAACCGGAAUGGCUUAUUUUCAAAGUUGCCGAUCAUAGUUGUUAUUAGUAAACAACGGUUUAAAGUAAGGCAUGUUGAAGCUGUAGUUUUGCUGUCGUAACUGGUUCUUCAACCGUUGGAAUAAUUUGUGUUGAUUUGGCAUGAUUGAUUGGAAGUGGAACUUAGCGAGUUGAACUAGUGAACUGAAGACGAAGUCAAGUCUCAACAUCAACAUCUCAAGAGUCAUGAAGAAGGUGGUUUUGCAAAGUGCAUCAUCGUACUUAUAGCAUUUGGUUAAUUGAAGAACAUUGAUACUGAAAAAAAGCCUUUACAAAAAUGAGAACUUCAGAAUCCUGACAAGAAUUCCUACGCAGAAUUUCAUUUAAAAUACACUGACACUCCGAUGCUGACCAGUUGAUGAGACACACCAAAGACACAGCUGAGGCCGAUAAAUAAAACUUUUGCGGCGUAAACUUGGUUUGAAGGUUGGCCAAGCCCGACACAUGCUAAGAACUUGUUGCCUGCUUCGGUUAGGAGUUGGUCGGUGACAGGAAAAUAUGAUGAACAUUUUGUCGUCCAUGAUGGCGGAGGAAAGUGAACUGCUGAGUGCAUCUGAAAUUAUCAAAGAUCGAUUCUACUUUGCUACCUUGAGGACGAAGCCGAGAAGUACAAUCAACACGCAUUAUUUCAACAUCGCAGAUGAACUGGUGUAUGAGAACUUCUAUGCAGACUUUGGGCCCUUGAAUCUCGGUCAGCUCUACAGAUACUGCUGUAAAGUCAACAAGAAAUUAAAGUCUUUCUCGUUAGCAAAGAAGAAGAUUGUGCAUUACACGACAUUCGAUGCCAAGAAACGUGCAAACGCAGCAUACCUUGUCGGGGCAUACUCGGUGAUUCAUUUGAAGAAAACUCCUGAGGAGGCAUAUCGACCGCUCGUUGCUGGAACCAAUCCACCAUACCUUCCAUUCAGGGACGCAUCCUACGGAGCCUGCACGUACAACCUGACCCUACUGGACUGCCUCAAAGCCAUCGAUAAAGCAAUAACACACAACUUCCUUAAUUUUGAAUCCUUUGACGUGGAAGAGUACGAACAUUACGAGAGAGUGGAAAAUGGUGACUUCAAUUGGAUUCUACCGGGGAAAUACCUUGCCUUCAGUGGCCCCCAUCCUAAGAGCAAGAUUGAAAAUGGCUACCCAUUACAUGCGCCGGAGGCUUACUUCCCCUACUUCCGCAAGAACAGCAUCACGACCAUCAUCCGCCUCAACAAGAAGAUCUACGACGCCCGGCGGUUCACCGACGCGGGCUUCGACCACUACGACCUGUUCUUCAUUGACGGCAGCGUGCCCAGCGACGCCAUCGUGCAGCAGUUUCUCACGAUAUCCGAGAACGCCGAGGGCGGGCUGGCGGUUCAUUGUAAAGCCGGUCUGGGUAGGACUGGUACCCUGAUAGGUUGCUACAUGAUGAAACACUACCGGAUGACAGCAGCCGAGUGUAUAGCAUGGCUGCGGAUUACCAGGCCGGGCUCGGUCAUUGGUCCCCAGCAACACUUUAUGGAAGAAAAACAAGCUAGCAUGUGGGUGCAAGGGGACAUUUCUCGAUCCAAGACGAAGCGGGGACAGUUGAGCUACAAGCAAGGAGUCUCGCACAUUCUCAGGGCUGUCGAUGACAUAUCCAUCACGGACAACGACCGGACAUAUGAGGCUAAACAGGAAGAGCCUUAUUCCCUGCGCUCCAAGUCGUCCCAUAGUUCCGUCCCAAUGACCCAGGGAGACAAGCUACGGCAGCUGAAGGGCUCGAGGAAAGCCCGCUCAGCAACCACGGGAGCUCUGAAGGUGGAAGAUGCCAAAAUGCACACAAGAUCUACAUCCCAGCCCCACAGAAUCGCCGCGACGUCGUCGAGCCCCGUCGCAACCUCCCCUCUGAAGGCCACCAAGGCAGCCAGUCACAGUGCGGCAAGUCACAGCGCCGUGCCCCGCCGCAGCACAAGACACUCCGCAGCUGCCAGCUCACCCCUUAAAAGAUGAUACAGCAGUUGUACGCAGAACAUGAUAAAAUGUACAGGGGUGAAGACAGUAGGCGUCGUACAAGUCAGCGUAUUCAUACUACUAGGUCGUCUGUGCCCCAUUAGCUAGAGACUUCUCCCCCAAGGCUCCCCGCGACACUGCACAUACCUGCACACUGAAGGACAUUGAGAAGGCGUCACUGAUGGUAGAUUUCUGAGAAUGGAACAAGACGAGAAACGAUGGAGUGGCUGUAGCGGCGUGUCUGUGACUUUGAAACCGUAGAGUGGACCCGUUGUGCAUCCAGACGUUCAUGUUGCGACCAUCUGUUUUCGGCGUUCGCAGUCUUGUACACGUACCAUCAACUGUGUCUGUAUUUGCACCGUGCGUUAUCAGUUGAGGGCGCCAAACAGUCUCAUCUUUUAAGGCAUCGUGUAGGCAAAGAAGACCGGUUAUUAGAACAGUCAGGAGCCUACCGUACAAUAAUCCAGUUGUUGGACCUGAAGGCGUGUGAAGAAACGGAGGGUUUCAUAAUCUGUGUUGACCUGAAAAGGGUUUGGCCCACACACAUGUAUGCUUGGAUGCCCAGCGCGCAGCAAGACUUUAUCCUCAAAACAAUUUCUGUGCAGUUCAAUUUAUACAAGUGCGGUAUCUCCGACUUGUGUUUUUUUACUUAGUAAUGGGGAAAAGUCUCUAGUUUAAUACUUUUUUUUUUCUUAACAUGACAACUUGUAUCCUUUUCAGUCUAAAUGUAGCUUUUAGUUUAAUUUGUAUUGCCAAUAUUCUUGUAUGUGUCAUUUCUUAGCGUCAAUUCUAAAUUCCCCUGAAAAGGUUCAAGAUGUUGUUUGGAUGGAAAUGCCUGUUGUAUUUGAAACUGAACUCGCAUUGGGACAUGAGCCUUAAAGAGGCAUGUACAUGAGCCUUAAAGAGGCAUUUAAGUCAAUUGGUUGUUUGAUGUUUGUUAGACCAAAAAAUGAACGUAUCUCUGCAGAGAGAACCAACAGUUGUAGACAUGUCUAUUUGUGCAUGUUUUAAAGCUGAACAAAUGGGGGGGGGGGGACGUGUUUACUUUGCCAAAGUAAAAACCUGUGCCAACUUAAUAAUCGUCCUUUACACAUAUGUCCCAAUGUACGUUCACAAUAUUUGCACGUGUACAUAAUGUAGACUUUUCACCCACUUUGGGGGAAUUUUGUAGCAUCAAACACAAUACCUUUACUGGAGAACCUUUGUAUUCAAUCACUGUAAUUUUCUAUUUUUAUGAAUGAAUUUUUUCCAAUGAUAAUGGAAUUUUCAUAUUUUUCCGUAAGACUGUAGUUAAAUUACACAUGCAUUUUUAAACAGUUUGCAUAUAUUUCUAAUUGAUGUAUUUUCUUUUUUGUUUUCAAGAGAUUUUUAAGGAGUGUUACUCCGUUGGGAUGAGUAAAUGUAAUGUAGGAGUACGUUGUAUGUUACAUAAAAAGAUGCUAUUUUUGGAAUGUGUAUAGGAAUUUGUCUAGGAUAUAACACUUUUAUGAAUUAGUUAUCGGUGUUGAAAGUGUGUGUAUGUAGAUAACUACCGAUGAACAUAUCUUAUUGUUUUUCUUUUUCUUUUUUCUUUUCUUUUUUUUUCGGCUGCAAUGUGGCAAUCAACAAUUCUUCCAUAAAUUUCUUAAAAACAUGCCAAUUUUAUUUCGAAAUCUGUACAGAGAAAAGGUGCCCACAAUUUGAACGGGGCAUUCUGAAAAAAGGAAUGUUUAGGUUUGUAUAAAAAAAAAAAAAAAAAUCACCAAAUGUUGCUAGUCUAUUUUUCUAGAAAUUCAAGAAAGAGUAUUAUUGUUGUAAUCUGGAUGUUGGACAUUAAGUACUUCUUUUUUUCUUGACAGUGUAAUGAGACUCGGUCUUGGAAGGGAAUUUUUGUAUGUCUUGGGACAGUCUGCUCAAGAAUUCAUAUAUUUACAGUGUUGCGUAAUUCACGAAGCACAUUGAAAGGGUGGAUUUGGCGACAGAAUUUACGUGUAACUGCAUUGGUUACCUUCCCCCCCCCCCCCAAAAAAGUGUCAAAUAAUAUUUUUCUUCUGAACUGGUUUUUGCUUUGCUUUGCAGAAGCUAGGAAAUUGGUUGCAUCCUGACGCCACUUUUUUUCUUAAUCUUUUAUCUCAAUGAAGGCCAGUCAUUGCAAAAAUGUGGAAAAGACAUGAAUCUGGGACUGAGAUUCACUCCACUCUCCCUAGACUUAGUACACAACCAAAGAAGUGGUUUCUGGACACUACAUUUUUUCUGAGAAAAUCAGUUUAAAUCACUAUCUAGCUAAGACAUUUCACAAAGUUCCCAACUAAAAUACAAAACUGAUUAAAUGAACUCAAAGUGGCUCCUAGCUAUCCGCAAAUUUAUCUUUUGCAUAAAUUUAAGUUCGAUAUAAAUGUGAUUGACAAUGUUAUCUACGUAUCUCCAUUCCUGUGAUGUGACAUGUGGAAUUUCCUAGGUUAUGUGACUGAUUUUCAAUUCCUUAUGGAGCAACUAACGCAUGCAUGGCUAAAUUUUGUUAUAAUUCACAUUGAGAAUUGACCUUUUUUUUUUUAGUCCAUUGACAUACUUGGCUGCUUGUUUCAGCAUCUGUGACUAGAUUGCGGCAAAGGCAGGCAGCUUUAAGGUUUUCCACGAACAAGUUGUUUCCUGAGCAUUUAGUUAAAAUUUUUAUUGAAUUGUUAUUACAUGUAAGUUUUAAUUUUUAAUAGUAUCAGAACUUAGAAUGGGUUUGUGGAACGACAUCUUUCAUUUCCCAAUGCUCAGUUUUAUUGAAAUGCUUAUUAAUGUUUAUUGUUAAUUAGCUACUUAGUUAAUGAAUAUUGUUAAUGAUUGAAGAGCAAAGUGCGAGCCCCAUUGACGUAUUCAGCACUAAAAAUGUAAAUCUACAGAAAUUGACACAAAAAAAGGUUUGCGGAGCAUUGAAAAGAAAGCUAUCAAUUUAACUUUGAGACUAACAUUACCUAACUAGUUGGCAUUCUCAGGUGACGAAAUUCAAAAGUUUUUAUUGCUUGUACAAAAAAAAGGAAAAUGUAUAUUUGAGGCUGUGCUAUGUACCAAUGAAAUCCACUAUGCUGGCAGAUCAGUGAUUUUGUAAGAAAGGGUUGAAUGUGUUUAAAUAAUGCUUGUUUUGAAUGAACUUUUGGAUUUUUUUGUAGCACUUGAAGAUAUGACAGCACUCUUUGUUAAUUUGUCAGGCUUUGACAUCAAUUGGGUAGGGUUUCAUAAUUGAGCUGAAGUGAUGUGUGGCAAUUGAACGAGCCAACCUAAUUUAGAAUUAUCUACAUUGGCGAGCAUCUUUAAUUAAUGAAUUCAUUUUUGUGAUCACUGAGCAAUAAGCCUUGCAUAUCAAAUUUUAAGGUUUUUUUUUUAAACCGAGUUGGAGGCCUAAUGUGGAAUUCUUUCACGCGUGUUUGCCCCACUUUAUAACUGAAACGACUGUUGUUAUUUGCCGAUGUGCAUGGCAGGAUGCAUACAUCUGUUUUGCUUGUGUGACUUCACAUGCAUGAAUGUUUGAGAGAAACAUUUUGAACUUUUGGUCUAUUUUUGUGGAUUGGAUGUUUUGUUUAAAUUGCUACAGAUUUUACAAAUUCGACCUGAUGAAAUGCUUCACUGCAGUUUGAGUGUGAACCCCAUUUUGCACAGUAAUCACAAUUGACUUAAGAUUUACGUUUUUUAGAUUUUGAAUUUUUUUUAAUGAAUAUUAUAUUUUUCCUUUAAGUGUGUACAAUAAUUUGAUUGUUCAGGGCGGCAGCGAGUCUUAGAUGAUUUGAAUAACAUUCCGCUGUUUUUAAUUGUUUCGGUGUAAAUAUAAUUGUAAUUCGGGCUAGCUCUUCAUCGUAAUGGUGUGUAUGCUGUAAACGGUUUUAAAAGCAAUUCUCUUCUGAAUUUGAAAUGAAUUUGCGAACGUAUUUUUGAUUACGAUGCUCAUGCAGAUAGCAGAGCGCGAUUUUAAGUUACUUCUUAAUGCGAGAACAGCUUUUGAAGACAUUUUUAAAGUUUGCAUCGCACCGAUUUUUUGUGCGUGGAUUGCAUUUUUUAAAAGCAUGCUUUGGAUGUAUUCAAUUCCUAACAUGAAAAUGAAUAAAUUUACGGUAUACAGUUAAAUAGCUAGAUAUUUUGCAACUUUAAAGUGGCAGCUCCGUGCCCGGGAUGGGGCAACGAUAAAAACACUGACCCUGACCAUGUGGUGUGAACAGUUGAAUACAAAUAAUUUAAUCUUGGGGCUGUACACCACAUUUUAACAUCCCGUAGCCAUCUGAAAUGACCGUCUGUCUUGGUAGUGAUUUGAAUAGGACAUUAAUGGGAAGCCCGUUACCGAACCGUCUCUCUGGAUAUUCAGAUUAGUUUUUCACUGGAGACCGGGCGGCUCGCUUUGGAACAUAGUAUUUUUGUGAUAAAGGAAUUAAAGUUUCUAAGACAUCAGU
rnacentral:misc_RNA from 1 species